rnacentral:lncRNA from 1 species
UGAGGGAGUGAGCUGGAAGAUUCAGCCCCAGGGUGAGGAAGAAGAGGAGGAGGGGGCCUUUAAAUAGCAGGUGGCUUCGCUGUUUCCAUAAAUGAAAAUGCAGAAUGGAGGGGACAGGAGACUGAAGAGGACUUCACCUCUGAGUGAAUCACCUGCCAUCCAGCCUGCUUGCUUCAGGAAGCUGAACCCGACGUCUCAUGGCAGUUCUAUUUUCAGAAGAAGCCACCAAGAAGAGAGUGAAGAAUGUGCUCACAGAGACACAGCUGUAAGUGGCAGAGCCGGGAUUCAAACCCAGCUUGGUCAGAAGACUAACACUCUUAGCUACCCCACUCUGCUGCCUCUCUCAUCCUGCAUCGUGAAGGAGUUCACAACAUGCCGACCCAAAAUACGCCACUCUGGCAUAGUGACUAUUUUGAGAUAAAGGCACUUUAAAAAAUAGCAAAUAUGUGAAAAACACUCUGACGAUUCUUCUUUUUCUUAAAAGCAGGAGAUAAAUUCCCAUAUGAAAGAUGUCUUCUCUACACCAGAAGGAAAGUAACGUUCUUAUCAUCCAGGAUAAGUUGAGAUCAAGAGAAUUCUAUACAAACAGACCUUGUUAAAAUCAUUCUUAUCUUCCUUCGGCCUCCCCGCAGAGUGGUGGCUUUUCUACCAUUGCCUCUCUUUGUUCAAUAUACCAUAAAAGCAAGUAGGUUUUGCUCUUUCUUUGGGUCUUCAUUCCUUACGGGUUCUCCCGUGUCACCUAAAACUUAUAUUAAAUAAAUUUGUAUGUUUUUCUCCUGUUGAUCUGUCUUCUGUCCAUCUAAUUCUCAGGCCCAGCCAAAAAGACCCCCGAGAGCGUAAGGGUAGAGCCAGCCUCCCCUGCACCUGCUCCCUCCUAAAUGCACCUGUGCUCCUCCCUCAUUUUACCCG